rnacentral:rRNA from 1 species
AUUGAACGCUGGCGGCAGGCCUAACACAUGCAAGUCGAGCGGAGCGGCGGACGGGUGAGUAAUACCUAGGAAUCUGCCUGGUCGUGGGGUACAACUUUCGGAAACGUACGCUAAUACCGCAUACUUUCAGAUGAUCCUAGGUCGGAUUAGCUAGGUGGUGAGUGAAUGUCUCACCAAGGCUACGAUCCGUAACUGGUCUGAGAGGAUGAUCAGUCACACAGUAACUGAGAGACGGUCCAGACUACUAGGGGAGGCAGAAGUGGGGAAUAUUGGAAAAUGGGCGAAAGCCUGAUCCAGCCAUGACGCGUGUGUGAAGAAGGUCUUCGGAUUGUAAAGCACUUUAAGUUGGGAGGCGUUACCGACCGAAUAAGCACCGGCUAACUCUGUGCCAGCAGCCGCGGUAAUAC